UACGAAGGGGGCUAGCGUUGCUCGGAAUUACUGGGCGUAAAGGGCGCGUAGGCGGAUGUCUAAGUUGGGGGUGAAAUCCCGGGGCUCAGCCUCGGAACCGCCUUCAAUACUGGAUAUCUUGAGUUCGGGAGAGGUGAGUGGAAUGCCGAGUGUAGAGGUGAAAUUCGUAGAUAUUCGGCGGAACACCAGUGGCGAAGGCGACUCACUGGCCCGAUACUGACGCUGAGGCGCGAAAGCGUGGGGAGCAACAGGG
rnacentral:rRNA from 1 species